UACGUAGGGGGCAAGCGUUGUCCGGAAUCAUUGGGCGUAAAGCGCGUGUAGGCGCCAGAAAAGUCCGCUGUGAAAACUCGAGGCUCAACUUCGAGCUGUCGGUGGAAACUUUCUGGCUAGAGUCCGGAAGAGGAGAAUGGGAAUUCCUGGUGUAGCGGUGAAAUGCGCAGAUAUCAGGAAGAACACCCGUGGCCGAAGGCGGUUCUCUGGGACGGUACUGACGCUGGAGACGCGAAAGCGUGGGGAGCGAACAGG
rnacentral:rRNA from 1 species